GCGCCCAUGGCUCAGCUGGAUAGAGCGCCAGACUACGAAUCUGGAUGUCGGAAGUUCGAAUCUUCCUGGGCGCACCA
rnacentral:tRNA from 2 species